rnacentral:rRNA from 1 species
AACGAACGCUGGCGGCAUGCCUAACACAUGCAAGUCGAACGAGACCUUCGGGUCUAGUGGCGCACGGGUGCGUAACGCGUGGGAACCUGCCCUUAGGUUCGGAAUAACUCCCCGAAAGGGGUGCUAAUACCGGAUAAUGUCUUCGGACCAAAGAUUUAUCGCCUUUGGAUGGGCCCGCGUUGGAUUAGCUAGUUGGUAGGGUAAAAGCCUACCAAGGCGACGAUCCAUAGCUGGUCUGGGAGGAUGAUCAGCCACACUGGGACUGAGACACGGCCCAGACUCCUACGGGAGGGAGCAGUGGGGAAUAUUGGACAAUGGGCGAAAGCCUGAUCCAGCAAUGCCGCGUGAGUGAUGAAGGCCUUAGGGUUGUAAAGCUCUUUUACCCGGGAUGAUAAUGACAGUACCGGGAGAAUAAGCUCCGGCUAACUCCGUG